rnacentral:rRNA from 1 species
UACGGGGGGGGCAAGCGUUGUUCGGAAUUACUGGGCGUAAAGGGCUCGUAGGUGGCCAACUAAGUCAGACGUGAAAUCCCUCGGCUUAACCGGGGAACUGCGUCUGAUACUGGAUGGCUUGAGUUUGGGAGAGGGAUGCGGAAUUCCAGGUGUAGCGGUGAAAUGCGUAGAUAUCUGGAGGAACACCGGUGGCGAAGGCGGCCUUCUGGACAGUGACUGACGCUGAGACGCGAAAGCGUGGGGAGCAAACAGG